AAUCAACGCUGGCGGCGCGCUUAACACAUGCAAGUCGAACGAGAAAGCGGGGGCAACCUCGUGAGUAAAGUGGCGUACGGGUGAGUAACACGUGGGUAAUCUACCUCUUAGUGGGGAAUAACGCUGGGAAACCGGCGCUAAUACCGCAUAAUCCCGAGAGGGGAAAGCAGCAAUGCGCUGAGAGAGGAGCCCGCGGCCGAUUAGCUAGUUGGUAGGGUAACGGCCUACCAAGGCGAAGAUCGGUAGCCGGCCUGAGAGGGCACACGGCCACACUGGCACUGAAACACGGGCCAGACUCCUACGGGAGGCAGCAGUGGGGAAUCUUGCACAAUGGGGGAAACCCUGAUGCAGCGACGCCGCGUGAGCGAUGAAGCCCUUCGGGGUGUAAAGCUCUUUCGGCAGGGACGAAACAUGACGGUACCUGCAGAAGCAGCUGCGGCUAACUACGUGCCAGCAGCCGCGGUAAUACGUAGGCAGCGAGCGUUGUUCGGAGUUACUGGGCGUAAAGGGUGCGUAGGCGGUCCCCUAAGUUUGGUGUGAAAUCUCCCGGCUCAACUGGGAGGGUGCGCCGGAUACUGAGGGACUAGAGUGCGGGAGAGGAAAGUGGAAUUCCUGGUGUAGCGGUGAAAUGCGUAGAUAUCAGGAGGAACACCGGUGGUGUAAACGGCUUUCUGGACCGUAACUGACGCUGAGGCACGAAAGCGUGGGGAGCAAACAGGAUUAGAUACCCUGGUAGUCCACGCCCUAAACGAUGCACGUUUGGUGUGGGUGAUUCAGUUCAUCCGUGCCGGAGCUAACGCGUUAAACGUGCCGCCUGGGGAGUACAGUCGCAAGGCUG
rnacentral:rRNA from 1 species